UUGUUUUGUGGUUUUUGACUUAACUGAGGACGUGCAUGCUCUGCUGCUUAGUUCUCAGUGGUUUGAAGGCGGCAGCAGCGAUGGCAGACACCAUGUCUUCUCUUCCGCUGCAGCAACUCAUUGCAACUAUCAACACCAGGCAAUUACCCGUUGUUCUCCAGGUCUGCUCUGGCAUCUACUUCCAAGGGUCGGUGUAUGAGCUAUCGGGGAGUGAGGUGUGCUUCUCAACGGGAGACCUGGUGAAGGUCACCGGCCUAACGCUCAUAUCUGUCAACUGUGAAGACACCAUCAGCGGACAGAUAUCCGAGUUGCCACUCAAUUCUAAAGGCGUGUUCAAGCAGUUCCGAGAAGGCCGGCGCUACCUAUCACUGAAGGACAUGUUAGGUGCGAGGUCUCAGGGGACAGGGAACCCAGGCCUGCCGUUCUCCUUCAUCAGCCGCUGUGAGCUGACCGUGGACGACCUGGUGAUGGGUCCCGGGACGGUGAUGGUGGCUCACUCGGUGGAGGCGCCCAGGGGGGAGGGAGGGACAGGGAGGAUGCUGUGCCGAAUGAGCGGCUCCCAGGGGGGCUCCGUGAGGUUGGUCCUACCGCUCAGCUGCCAGGGGGAGUUCUAUGAGUGCUUCUCCCUGCAGGAGAUCAUGUCCAGGACCGAGCUGUGCAGAGGCCUCUUCUGCAGUGUGGACGCCAUCGUGGGGGCGGAGCGACCCCUGAUCUUCCGCCCCGUGUAUGAGGUGGAGGCCCGCAUGCACCUGCGCAAGGACACGGUGAGGUUCCCCUCCAGUCUGGAGGUGGAUGUGGUGGAGGUGACAGACCAGCCGGACGACAUGGCCUUCAUCACCCCGCUCACCCUGGACGAGCUCCUCACCCUGCCCGACGACACCUUCCCCGCCACCGCCCGAAUCGUGGAGACCCCGACAGUGGAUCAUCUGGUGCAGUCCGGCUGGGUGGAAGAGCUCCGCGGGGACCAGGAGCUGAUCCUGCACGGCAAGGGCUCCGUCAGCAUGGCCCUGUUCUCAAGCGCCCGCAGGAUCAAGCGGCAGUACUUCCUGGUGUCUGAGGGCUACGGGGGCCGGUUUCGCAGGAGGCCCCGGGAGUUCCUGUCCGUGUUCGAGGUGUACGUGGCGUCCACCCAGGCGCCGGGCCUCAGGGUCACCGUGACGCGGUCCGUCCAGGAGGCCGAGGACGACGUGAGCGGCCUGGUCGUGGGGGAGGAGCUGGAGGUCGUUGGCCACCGCAUAGGAGCUCAGGAGGCGCAGCAGUCGAAUCCCAAGCAGAGCGCCGACGUGCUCAUCUGUCGGCGCAUCGAGGAGCUCAGCGAUGACGAGGAGGAGGCAGAGGGCGGCGCUGCUGCUGCUGCUGCUAUUCUGGAGCUGCCGCUGCACUGGCACGGCUUCUUCAGAGAGGUGAUCUCCAACAAUAAGAAGUACAAGAUCAAGGACUUGUGCCAGCAGUUCUCUCUGCCGCUGAACGUCAAGGUAGUGAGCCGAGACGCCGACCUGGCGGCCGAUCCUCUGUACGGGAUCUCCUCCCUUCGCCUGGAGUGCGUCACCGUGGAGAACUUCAUCCAGGCCAGCUUCCCGACCAGCCCUGAAUACUGCUUCACCAUCCCCAUCCGCUGUCUCUCCAUGGUCGUCUAUUUUACCCAGGAAUCCCUGCCUUGGCCCAGAGACGAGCCGCCCGUUGUUCACGUGGAAGUGGUCACCGAGGUUACAGAGUCUUUCUACCUGGAGAAAUGCAGGCUCAUAUAUUCCCAGCAGCCGCCCCCACCAAGACCACCAAAGCACAAUUUGUCGUUGGCUGUUAAAGUAACGCCAAAACCUUGCAUCCGAGAGCCUCUUGCAGACUCUCAUCCAGCUCGGUCAGCGAAUGGCAGUGAGCCCGAGGAAGGAUUAAGGAGGCAAAGUGUCCCCUCCAAAGCGAAAGUGCCUCUCCCACUGCCUAAGUACCGGAACUCUCUUCAGUCUUUAUGAGGACUGAAGGGAGUGUCGCAUGAUCUACUCUGGUGAAGCCAGAGUACUUUACAUAAGGCGCGGGGAGUUCACCGAGAGCAGAUGAACCCCUCAAGCAUGCCGCAAAGGAAGUUAAUAAAACUCUAGACAAAUGAUUUCCAAUAAUCCUCGUUAGUGUGAUAUUCAAUCAGUUAUUCAGACUCUGCAAUGUUGUUAUACAGGGGCCACGGAAACCAGCCCUCCCCUCUCCGAAGACCUCUUGCAAACCCCAGCAGUCCGUCCAGCCGAAAGGUAACCCCUAUGAGGCAUGCCGCAUAACUCAAGGUGAGGUCCAGUCUGAAGACAGUGACCAUGACUACGAGUCUGCUGACUUGAUCGACACGAUCAAGAAAAUGCAAGAGUUUGUUUCGUAUUGAGCAGCAGGCUCAAUGCGCGUUGAUUUGCAUCAGGCCGUGAGAAUAAGUUGCAUUAUUCCCCUGAGGAGCUCUGCAGGAAAUUAUUUAUUCAGCUUCCUGUCGAAUGCUGACUGCUACGAAUGUACAUGAACUUCACAUAUUUAGUAUUGAAUCUGUUGCUUCUGAAAUAAAAUGAAGCUCGUAAAAAGCACAAAUGAAUCUGGGUAUCAACGCUUUCUGAACCGAAGCCCAGUUUUGAUGUAUGAAAGUAAUAAAAGAUACAAAUAAA